AAUACCUCGUUCUCAAAGUAUUGCUUUUAUAAAAUUUUGUAAGGAUUGUAGCGAAAACGAAAAAGUAGCGGUAAAACAUUUAAGUUGGUAACCCUGACGCCCCUUGUGACGCCACGACAAGCGAGCUGCGAGUGCGCCACCAGUCCGCCAUCUUUCUUACCUUUUUGAUUGUUGACUUGUAAAUUUUGUAAUUAGUUUUUGCCGACGUCCACCGUGCCGUUUUUUAAGUAAUUUUUGGUAUUUUACAAAUUGUGUUACUUUAGUGGACACGUGGAGACAUGGACGCUGACUGUUGGAAGAAUUCGUCAAUUCAGACUGGCGCAAAGAGCUAUCAGGGCGCGAUGCCAGGAAUUUCAUUGCGAGACAGAAUUCGAAAUGAGGAUAUUCGCCAACGCAAUAAAGUUACCGACAUUGCAAAAAGGAUUAACUCAAGUGGGAAUGGACCGGCUAUAUUUUUCGCAGAGAUGACGAUCAAUGGGGUCGCCUAGUAUUGCUGUGGAGACCUAGCCUGGGUGGCCGAGGUGGCGGGAAACCACGAGCAGAUGGUCGGAUGACAUCAAAAAACGGCAGGGCCCACCUGGCACACAACCGCCACAUAUAGAACUGAGUGGAAACCCACUGAAUGCAGACCAGGAUCAUAUACUUUAGGUAUGAGUUUGUUACUUUUGCUCAUAAUAACAUGGAGUAUGUCACAGCUGCUCCACGGGCUGCAUUGAAGGGCAACAGGAGCGAAAAUGGAAAGGAGCUCCCCCUUUCAAUUAGAGAAUCUUAGGAUAUGCUAAGGCAAACAGAAGGAGGCAAGGAACGGGACUGCAUCAAUUGCUGUUUGGAACCAAUCUUGUGGGAUGACUUCUGGACAGGGAAAAAACAAUUUCAUCAUCUACCCUAAUACUGACGAAUGUUCUAAAACGUGCUGUAAGGCAGACAUUUCCAAAUGUAACGGAGGAAAGUUUCGAGACAUGUAAUGGUUUCAACACGCUGCUGAGACCCAACUCAAGAGACGUCAGUUUGUACUGUUUUGUCCAUUCUCUAUUGGGCAUGCUUGUAUGGAGAGGUAUAUAUAUUGGAGUACAGACAUGGUGUUUGGUAUGAGUAUUAUAUACAUCCUCUUGAGUCAAAGAGGACCGGUAGCCACUUUGAACUCCGUGUCCGAAAGGGUCAAAGUAUGGAGCUCCCGGUACUCAGAAAAAAAAUUCUGGCCUAUUAGUUUUGAACUUUCGAGUCAAGUUUGGUGUCAUUUUUAUGUAAACUGUUCGCUUCAUUUUUAAAUUGAAGAAGAUUAAAAAUCACAGUAAUAUUAUUAAGGCAAAAGUUUGUGAGCAUACUGUGUUUGUUACUUCCUCACGCCACGCCCAAGUGCCUUAACAAAUAUUAUUUAUAAAAUUAAGUAUGGAGGAAGUAAGAUAUACCCUAAGUUAACACGUCGCUUCUUCUUGAUCGUGGGUAACACUCGGGGCGCAGUAUAAUGAUUAUUAAAAAUCUUUAUGCUGUCCCCUA